rnacentral:rRNA from 1 species
GCGUGAGUGAAGAAGGCCUUAGGGUUGUAAAACUCUUUCAGUGGGGAAGAUAAUGACGGUACCCACAGAAGAAGCUCCGGCUAACUCCGUGCCAGCAGCCGCGGUAAUACGGAGGGAGCUAGCGUUGUUCGGAAUUACUGGGCAUAAAGCGUACGUAGGCGGAUAAACAAGUUGGGGGUGAAAUCCCGGGGCUUAACUCCGGAAUUGCCUCCAAAACUAUUUAUCUAGAGUCCGGGAGAGGUAAGCGGAAUUCCUAGUGUAGAGGUGAAAUUCGU